GACAGAGGGUGCAACGUUGUUCGGAAUUACUGGGCGUAAAGCGCGUGUAGGCGGCAGCGCAAGUCGGAUGUGAAAUCCCAUGGCUCAACCAUGGAAGUGCACCGAACUGCGUCGCUAGAGCCUGGAGAGGAGGUGAAUGCUUGGUGUAGAGGUGAAAUUCGUAGAUAUCAAGCGGAACACCGGUGGCGAAGCGGCCAUCGUGGACCGCAACUGACGCUGAGGCGACGAAAGGCGUGGGGAGCAAACAGG
rnacentral:rRNA from 1 species